rnacentral:rRNA from 1 species
GUAGGUGAACCUGCGGAAGGAUCAUUAUUGAUUGCGAAUCGUUGUCUCCAGUGCUGGCCAGGUCACUCUGGCAAGUGCACGUCGACGGCUUUCAUCCAAUACCCUGUGAACCUUUGGCCUCUUGCUAGCUUCGGCGAGCAGAGGAUUUUACACCCACUCGAAUGUAAUGAAAUUAUUGUUGUGCACAAGCACUAAUAUACAACUUUCAACAACGGAUCUCUUGGCUCUCGCAUCGAUGAAGAACGCAGCGAAAUGCGAUAAGUAAUGUGAAUUGCAGAAUUCAGUGAAUCAUCGAAUCUUUGAACGCACCUUGCACCCUUUGGUAUUCCGAAGGGUAUGCUCGUUUGAGUGUCAUUGUACUCUCACACUUCCGAUUGUUUGGAUCGGGAGCGGUGGACUUGGGUGUUGCUGCGUUACUGUGGCUCACCUUAAAUGCAUUAGUGCACCUUUCGGUUGGACAUAGUACGGCGUGAUAAGUGUCUUCGCCGGCACCUCCUCACAGAGGGUGGCUGAUCGGGAGCUCUGUGCUUCAAACCGUCUUCGGACAACAACUGACAACUUGACCUCAAAUCGAGUAGACUACCGCUGAACU